rnacentral:rRNA from 1 species
GCUUGUCUCAAAGAUUAAGCCAUGCAUGUCUAAGUACAAGCCUCAGUAAGGUGAAACCGCGAAUGGCUCAUUAAAUCACACCUAAUCUACUGGAAAGUUACUAGUUACUUGGAUAACUGAGGUAAUUCUUGAGCUAAUACAUGCGAAAAAUCUCGACUCACGGAGAGAUGCUUUUAUUAGAUCAAAACCAAACGGCUUCGGCCGUCUCAUUGGUGACUCUGAAUAACUUUGGGCUGAUCGCAUCGAGGUAACUCGGCGACGGAUCAUUCAAGUUUCUGCCCUAUCAACUUUCGAUGGUACGGUAUUGGCCUACCAUGGUGACCACGGGUAACGGGGGAUUAGGGUUCGAUUCCGGAGAGGGCGCCUGAGAAAUGGCGACCACUUCUAAGGAAGGCAGCAGG